GGUGGGUUAGCUCAGUUGGUUAGAGCAUGGUGCUGAUAACACCAAGGCUCGGGUUCGACUCCUGUACCAGCCA